CAGAAGAUUAAAGACUCGUUAUGAAGUUGACUCUACUGAUCACAUUCUUGAUGACAGUCGCUGGCGCAAUAGGUGGUAAGCCGGAAUGCUGCAAGCGUGGUUGCCAUCUUUUAGAGUGUAGUCAAAAAUAAAAA